ACGAACGCUGGCGGCGUGCUUAACACAUGCAAGUCGAACGGAAAGGCCCUGCUUUUGUGGGGUGCUCGAGUGGCGAACGGGUGAGUAACACGUGAGUAACCUGCCCUUGACUUUGGGAUAACUUCAGGAAACUGGGGCUAAUACCGGAUAGGAGCUCCUGCUGCAUGGUGGGGGUUGGAAAGUUUCGGCGGUUGGGGAUGGACUCGCGGCUUAUCAGCUUGUUGGUGGGGUAGUGGCUUACCAAGGCUUUGACGGGUAGCCGGCCUGAGAGGGGGACCGGCCACAUUGGGACUGAGAUACGGCCCAGACUCCUACGGGAGGCAGCAGUGGGGAAUAUUGCACAAUGGGCGGAAGCCUGAUGCAGCAACGCCGCGUGCGGGAUGACGGCCUUCGGGUUGUAAACCGCUUUCGCCUGUGACGAAGCGUGAGUGACGGUAAUGGGUAAAGAAGCACCGGCUAACUACGUG
rnacentral:rRNA from 1 species